rnacentral:lncRNA from 1 species
UGUAAAAACUCUAGUCGUAUGUGUUAAAUUAGAUAUAAUUUUAAAAUCAUUUUCCUGAAUUCCGUGUGAUUCUUUUACAGACAUGUUUGGGACCCAGAGACUGAAAAGAAAGAAGUGCUAAAAGGUCUACAAACGAAAAACUGACAAAGGGAGAAAUGUUAGCAUAUCAGAGAUGAAAAGUCUGCGUUAUGGAAAAGGAACGUCCAGGAUAGAAGCUGCUCCUCCAACCCGGAUCCUGUUAUAAAAUGCCACCCAAAUGUGUCCGAUAUCAUACAAGGUAAAGUAGAAACCUUUGCUGUUGUAAGCCACAGAGGUGUUGGGUUUUAUUACCAUUGUGCUAUCUAGAGGAAGUUAAUUUACACAGUGUGUAAUGGGAUAAAUACAUGCGUGUCGCGGGAGAGUAAGUGUUGUGUUUCAAGCUGAAGGAAAAGGGUUAAGGUGCUCACAUGUUCUAAAAAGAGGAAUUAGCUAUACCUGCAGCAUUUACCAAAAUUUAAGGAAAC